AUUGAACGCUGGCGGCAGGCUUAACACAUGCAAUUCGAGCGAGCGGCGGACGGGUGAGUAAUGUCUGGGAAACUGCCUGAUGGAGGGGGAUAACUACUGGAAACGGUAGCUAAUACCGCAUACCAUCAGAUUUGCCCAGAUGGGAUUAGCUAGUAGGUGGGGUAAUGGCUCACCUAGGCGACGAUCCCUAGCUGGUCUGAGAGGAUGACCAGCAACGCUGGAACGGAGACACGGUCACGGUUACUACGGGAGGCAGCAGUGGGGAAUAUUGCACAAUGGGCGCAAGCCUGAGGCAGCCAUGCCGCGUGUGUGAAGAAGGCAUUCGGGUUGUAAAGCACUUUCAGCGAGGAGGCGUUACGCGCAGAAGAAGCACCGGCUAACUCCGUGCCAGCAGCCGCGGUAAUUC
rnacentral:rRNA from 1 species